UCUUCCUGAGUCUUCUUACCCUCCUCCACCAUCAUUAAUCCUCUCUACUCCUCAUGGAGAUCAGAACUCCAAAAAUCCCCAAAAUGAAAAACCAUUCCGGGACUGGGAUAUCCUUGCCUGGUCCAUCAUCUCCCUACCACGUUUUGGUUGGCAAGAAAAUCAACCAUGCAUGUCAGUAACACAGACCUUAAUGGUUUCCCGAAACGGAAAAUUUAGGGAAAAGAUGAUCUUUUGUUUUUAUGUUUUCAUUUGGAAAUAAAGCUAGGGAAUUGCUCUAUCAUGAACUACUGCCACUAAAUCUAGCUCCUCUUCUUUUUUAUAGCUCAAGUGAGAAAUUUCCUUGAUGCUACUACUGGUAGGAAAUUUGGUGAAAAUCAUCAAGUAUUCCACUCACUCUCUCUCCUCUCCAGUUAAAAAAGGAUUUAGGGUUUCAAUCUCGCCACCAUCCUAAAGAGUUUUCCAUCUGUUUUUUGUGGUUCAAGGAAGAGGAAUUUUUGUUUAGAGAUCUUGAGCUUUUUGAGUGUUUCUUGAUGGAGAAAGUUGGAAAAGACUGGGUUUAUGAGGUGUUAAAAGCGGCUACUAUCCUGUUACAUUGUGCCAGCGGUUUCUUCUUCAUCGUUCAAGCUUUCGCUAUAAUUAUAAGCGAUGAUCUACUUCCUGAACACAGCUCGGUGGUGCUCCUUCGGGUAUUUUAUGCUUCUUUAAUUUGCAACUUGGUAGGCGUGUUUUGUGUCAAUCCUUCAUCUCAUCUUGAAUACCACUCGUUCAAGAAGUUUAUCCACGUCAUCAGUACUGUAUCGUCUUCUUUUUUUAUGGUACUUGGUUGUCGCCUCUGGAUAUUAUCAUUCACAGCCCAGCAUCCUUGAGCCUUCCGAUGUUAGUUAAUUUUUGGUUGUCUUUUCAAUCAGAGAUUAAGGCCGAUAUGUAAAUGCGUGUUCACCCUUUUUACUUUGUUGCAACACAGACUUGGUGCUAUAAACUUUGAUGAAUAUUUGUAGUAUGUAUUAUGUCAUAUGACCCAUCUAGUAGCUAGCUAGAUGCUGCAUGUGUUAAUUUGCAGGUACUUCCCUUUUUCUUUUUCAAUCUUUGUGAAAAAGACAUGGUGUACUUGUAAGAAUCCUUGAUUCUCAAGGAUAUCAAUUUCAAUCUUUGUGUGUUGUUUCACUUUA